rnacentral:rRNA from 1 species
UACGAAGGGUGCAAGCGUUAAUCGGAAUUACUGGGCGUAAAGCGUGCGCAGGCGGUCAUGCAAGACAGAUGUGAAAUCCCCGGGCUCAACCUGGGAACCGCAUUUGUGACUGCAAGGCUGGAGUGCGGGAGAGGGGGAUGGAAUUCCCCGUGUAGCAGUGAAAUGCGUAGAUAUGCGGAGGAACACCGAUGGCGAAGGCAAUCCCCUGGGCCUGCACUGACGCUCAUGCACGAAAGCGUGGGGAGCAAACAGG